GUCAAAAACAAAAGUGUUGCGUUUAAAAUUUUGUUCAGUGUAUGUGUAUAUAUAUAUAUAUAUACACAUACACUGAACAAAAUUUUAAACGCAACACUUUUGCC
rnacentral:miRNA from 1 species